AGAUUGAACGCUGGCGGCAGGCCUAACAACAUGCAAGUCGAGCGGCAGCACGGGUACUUGUACCUGGCGGCGAGCGGCGGACGGGGUGGAGUAAUGCCUAGGAAUCUGCCUGGUAGGUGGGGGGAUAACGCUCGGAAACGGACGCUAAUACCGCAUACGUCCUACGGGAGGAAAAGACAGGGGACCUUCGGGCCUUGCGCUAUCAGAUAGAACCUAGGUCGGAUUAGCUAGUUGGUGGAAGGUAAUGGCUCACCAAGGCGACGAUCCGUAACUUGGUCUGAGAGGAUGAUCAGUCACACUGGAACUGAAGACACGGUCCCAGACCUCCGUACGGGAGGCAGCAGGUGGGGGAAUA
rnacentral:rRNA from 1 species